CCUGCGGAAGGAUCAUUGUCGAAAGCCUGUCGAAUGUUGGUGGACAUGCGGACUUGUCGGAUCAAAUACAGGGGGUGCACGGCGAGCAGCCCCAUCACUUACUGGUUGUCGAUGGAAAUGUGUUUGGGAGCCCAUGUCGACCCCAGUCUAACACUGAAAUCGGCACAGAACGUGCCAAGGGAUCUCUACGAGGAAAUCCCCCCCCCCCCACCUCGCGUGGUGCGUGUAUUGGAUUCGGGGAGGUGGAUUGUGCAAAUCUGAUUUAAUGACUCUCGACAAUGGAUAUCUCGGCUCUCAUAUCGAUGAAGAACGCAGCGAAAUGCGAUACAUGGUGUGAAUUGCAGAAUCUCGGGAAUCAUUGAGUUUUUGAACGCAAGUUGCGCCUGAAGCCAUUUUUUGGUUGAGGGCACACCUGCCUGGGUGUCAUGCAUGGAGUUGUCCCUAGACCUCCUUCGAAAGGUGACCCAUUCAUUUGGUUGAUUUUUGGGAGAGAAGGGAUAAUGGGGGUGGAUGUUGGCCUUCCGUUCCACGUUGCGCGGUUGGUUUAAAUUUGGGGUCCCAGGCGACAUGCGUUGCAAUGAGUUGUGGGGAAUCGUGUAUGUCCCAUGUCGGUUGGUGAAACACCUGCGGUCCCAUGGCCUUGUUUGACACUUUGAUCGAGUAGCCAUCCAAACCCC
rnacentral:misc_RNA from 1 species